rnacentral:snRNA from 1 species
AUGCCCACUUCAGCAGCACAUAGACUAAGAUUGAAACGAUAUAGAGAAGAUUAGCCUGGUCCUUGGGCAAGGAUGUAACACAAAUUUGUGAAGCAUUCCAUAUUUUU